ensembl:lncRNA
UUUGAGCAGACACAUGCACAUUUGUGGCCUGCUGGAGAUCAUUUUGCAGGGCUCUGGCAGUGCUUCUCCUUGCACAAAGGCGGUGGUAGCGGUCCUGCUGCUUGGUUGUUGCCCUCCUACGGCCUCCUCCACGUCUCCUGAUGGAGACAGGGUAGCCUAGUGGUUAGAGCAUUGGACUAGUAACCGGAAGGUUGCAAGUUCAAACCCCCCAGCUGACAAUGUACAAAUCUGUUGUUCUGCCCCUGAAUAGGCAGUUAACCUGCUGUUCCUAGGCCGUCAUUGAAAAUAAGAAUUUGUUCUUAACUGACUUGCCUGGUUAAAUAAAGAUAAAAUAAAAAAUGUACUGGCCUGUCUCCUUGUAGAGCCUCCAUAAUCUGGACACUACGUUGGCAGACACAGCAAACCUUCUUGCCACAUCUCGCAUUGACGUGCCAUCCUGGAUGAGCUGCACUACCUGAGCCACUUGUGUGGGUUGUAGACUCCGUCUCAUGCUACCACUAGAGUGAAAGCACCGCCAGCAUUCAAAAGUGACCAAAACAUCAGCCAGGAAGCAUAGGAACUGAGAAGUGGUCUGUGGUCACCACCUGCAGAACCACUCCUUUAUUGGGGGUGACUUGCUAAAUGCCUAUAGUUUCCACCUGUUGUCUAUGCCAUUUGCACAACAGCAUGUGAAAUGUAUUGUCAAUCUGUGUUGCUUCCUAAGUGGACAGUUUGAUUUCACACAAGUGUGAUUGACUUGGAGUUACAUUGUGUUGUUUAAGUGUUGUUUAAGUGUUCCCUUUAUUUUUUUGAGCAGUAUAUAUAUAUAUUUUGGAACAAAUAUUUCAUUUUUAGCUAUUUGAAAAUCGAUGUGGAAUCUUUUGCAGCUCAAGUCAACGACAAAACAUGCAAUGCUUUCUGGGCUAGCUAGCAAACGUGGCUACACACAUCAAUAGCAAAGUCAAUAUCAGCAUGUAAAGUAGCUAGUUGGCUGUAAAAUCACCUAAACAAUCUACUAUCAAUUUAGGAGUAUAUCUCACUGUUCAGUUUGCAGUUCCUCUCUGCCCAGAGUGAGUACAGAAUGCGUUAUGGCAACCAUGAUCCACGUAUCCCCACAGACACACAGUACGCAUUGCAAGAUGGUACUUGAAGGACAAAACUGAGUUGAAUAAAUUGGUACAGUGUUUUAGAUUGAGCAUAUCUAAGUGAAAUGUGUACUUUGUCAUGAUAUUUGCCCGAAAAGCCGGUCUUUGGAGGAUAUAUUGACACGGGUGUUGUUAGGUCCGAGACACUGGCUAUGAGGGAAUUAUUGAAACAAUGUUGCAAAUGUCGGAGAUACAGACCGCAAGGUUUAUACAAAUCUCCGCUGUUGAAAACUAAAUGUUAGUCUAAAAGAAAUGUGAGAAUGUCUAAAUGCUUUUUUAUAGUGGAGAUGAAGUUUAUACAUUUCCUGGCUGGGUAGAUGAGACAGUGGAUUGCGCAGUGGGAUGGAACAGAGUAAAUCGGCAUUUUAACGUCAUAGAUUUAGCCAGUUGGUAAUUUGCGGAAUAGACACCGGCUGGAUGCGGUUUUAACCAAUCAGCACUCAGGAUUAGACCCACCCGUUAUAUAUGUAAAUGAGUGGAUGCGCUCUCGACAAGUAUGCCCAUACUAUCUAUUGGCCGAUUUGGUGAUCUGGAGUGCAGGUAAUUGUUUUUAAAAGCUUUUAUGAAACGUGAUGAGAACCAUCUAGCUAUGACUCGAUCCUACACGAUUUCCUAAUUUCACAGACUGACCACUUCCAAGUUAAACCACUAGGAAUUGUUUUAUUUGCCCUACCGAUAGAACACAUGCUUUCACCAAAUUGACCAGAGUUUCAUUUAAAAAUAUAUAUAUUCUGUGGUUGGAUUAUCCUUUUAAAAUGGACUGUCUGUUUCGACUGUGGUGACCUGUUUCUUGUGUGUACUGUGCCGUUCCUAUCGAUUAGGUAUUUAGGCAGAUUUUAAAAGUGAGAAUGUCUGAGACAAACAUUUUGAAAUGUCUUGAAAUAAGCACUUGUAUGCAUGACAAAACGUGUCCCUGGCAUGUAGAUGGAUACUGAUGCUUUGUGGUCUAAUUCACUGCUCAAUAGUUUUGCCACUACAUGAUGAGGUCUAGUUUUAUUUUAGUUAAAUGUUGCUUAGUGUGUUUUUGUUUUUCUGUUAUUUUUUUUGUACAUGCAUACGUCUCCAAGAGAAUAUCACAGGACUGACAGAUCCGCUGUUGUUCCUAUGUGUAUCAGCUGCAGAAGAUUGGAUUACUCAAUACCACAAAUUAUUGGCUUGUUUUGGUCAAAUGUGAGUGACAGCUGAUGUUUUUGUUCCUAAGUCUGUCUGGAAUGUGUUGUGUUUGUUUAACCUCUUCCUUAGCUUAAGGCCCUUAAUGAAGUGAUACGUUUUAUAGGUGGGGCACAUGUCUGUAUGGGUCUAAUAGGAACCAAGGUAGAUGUCAGAUGCUCUUCUUGGAGUGGAUAUAUUUGAGUCAGUGUAUUCUUUUUUUUCUUUUUUUUUACAGUGAAGUCUUAUUUUUAUAACAUAAAGAGAACUUGAAUUAUAUUUUUGUUACAAAAUUAGUUUUAUUUCUUCACUUAUGUUAGUGCAUGUAUUUAUUAGUUGUGCAGUUUCAUACAUGCUCAUGCCUCUGCUUUGUAGAUGGCCUCUCCAAUUAACAAGCCUGUUGACACUGUAAUAAACUUGCUGUUGUCAAUAAAGAUUACAUGUAUCA